GAUGAACGCUGGCGGCGUGCUUAACACAUGCAAGUCGAACGGGAAACCUUUUAUUGCAGCUUCGGCAGGUUUAGCUGGUUUCUAGUGGCGGACGGGUGAUUAACGCGUGGGUAACCUGCCUUAUACAGGGGGAUAACAACCAGAAAUGGUUGCUAAUACCGCAUAAGUGCAAAGGACCGCAUGGUCCGGUGUGCAAAACUCCGGUGGCCUAAGAUGGACCCGCGUUGGAUUAGCUAGUUGGCAGGGUAACGGCCUACCAAGGCGACGAUCCAUAGCCGGCCUGAGAGGGUGGACGGCCACAUUUGGAGUGAGACACGGCCCAGACUCCUACGGGAGGCAGCAGUGGGGAAUACUGCACAAUGGGGGAAAUCAUGAUGCAGCGACGCCGCGUGAAGGAAGAAGUAUGUAGGUAUGUAAACUUCUAUCAGCAGGGAAGAUAGUGACGGUACCUGACGAAGAAGCCCCGGCUAACUACGUG
rnacentral:rRNA from 1 species